rnacentral:sRNA from 1 species
UGGCCGAGCGCACCGACAUGGGCAGGAGUGGGGGAACCACUACCGGGCGUCUCCGGACGUCCUUGGGGUUAAGUCGGCUCACGCCGGCCGGGCCAUCCCAGUCCGAACCCGACAGCUCACCCCGCAGGCGACACGGGAUUGGACUG